rnacentral:lncRNA from 1 species
AGUGAUAGAUUGCUGCAGGAACUGGAAGGGUCAAAGAAAAUGUGAAUUAGAGCCCUUACAACGUUAUAGGAGAGCCAUCUGAGUUGGAUACAGCUACUGUCUUUGCCAAAUGUCAACUUCAGAAGCUAGACGGCUCAAUCCUAGAUGAUUCUUACAUCUCUGUCUCCACAGAAGGCCAGCAUUACAAUUGCCAUCAUAGGAUCCAGGUUUUUCUUCUUAAUUAUGGGUCCAGGUCAGAAACAUACCCAUUGCCAAGCUUGGCUACCAGCAUUGGCUCCUCUGGACCAUAGAUUCAGCUGACUCCCAAGGAAAUACUUCUCAGAAGAUUUCACUUCAAUGGAACUCUGCCUUAAACAAAGACAUCUGGCACCAUUUAUGAGUGCAAAUGCAGAGGCAGGAUGACUCUCAGCAAGCAAUUUUACAUGUGCUGACAUCAACACCUGUUCAUCGCCACAACGAGACACCAACUAUUCCUAAGAGGAAAAAGAUGUAACCUAUAUACCCACAAAGUGGAUUGGGAAUAUAUGGUCAUAUGGUAUAUUAAAACCAUAUCAUAGAAACUAUUGAGAAUUUACCUAACACAUCAUGACAACAAAGUGAACAGCACCCUACCUGAACCAUGUAAAAGGGAAAAAGCUGUAAUGAAGACAUCCCUAUGAACCUGUCAACUAUCUUGUGUGUGUACACUGGAAGACAGACAGACAUAGAAGUCCUGACUGUCCUUGAUGCUUCAGCUCAGCAUGCUACUUGAUGUCCUACAGCUUGAUGUCGCCCACUAAAGUUUCUAGUUUUUGACAGGUCCUAUGUCUCUUAGGCUCUACUCUACCCUGCAACCCAAUAACUUGGCUAUGUGGGUCUACAAAAUCUUCAACCAGAUUAAUAAAGGUCUACUGUAAACACCUUCA